GUGAUUUAUGUUCUAUUCAUACUUUGGCAUCUUACCUUUGCGGUUGAAUUCGUUGAAUUUGACGAACAGUCCAUUUUAGAUGUAUUGUCCGCCAUAUUUUCUAUUAAAUUUGUACUGUAAAAGUCGUGCAAAAAGUCGUGCAAAAAGUCGAGAAAAAAGUCGAGAAAAAAGUCGAGAAAAAAGUCGAGAAAAAAGUCGUGCAAAAAGUCGAGAAAAAAGUCGAGAAAAAAGUCGUGCAAAAAGUCGAGAAAAAAGUCGAGAAAAAAGUCGUGCAAAAAGUCGAGAAAAAAGUCGAGAAAAAAGUCGAGAAAAAAGUCGUGCAAAAAGUCGAGAAAAAAGUCGAGAAAAAAGUCGUGCAAAAAGUCGUGCAAAAAGUCGAGAAAAAAGUCGAGAAAAAAGUCGAGAAAAAAGUCGAGAAAAAAGUCGAGAAAAAAGUCGAGAAAAAAGUCGUGCAAAAAGUCGAGAAAAAAGUCGUGCAAAAAGUCGAGAAAAAAGUCGAGAAAAAAAGUCGAGAAAAAGGUCGAGAAAAAAGUCGAGAAAAAAG